rnacentral:rRNA from 1 species
AGUGAACGCUGGCGGUAGGCCUAACACAUGCAAGUCGAACGGCAGCACAGUAAGAGCUUGCUCUUACGGGUGGCGAGUGGCGGACGGGUGAGGAAUACAUCGGAAUCUACUUUUUCGUGGGGGAUAACGUAGGGAAACUUACGCUAAUACCGCAUACGACCUACGGGUGAAAGCAGGGGAUCUUCGGACCUUGCGCGAUUGAAUGAGCCGAUGUCGGAUUAGCUAGUUGGCGGGGUAAAGGCCCACCAAGGCGACGAUCCGUAGCUGGUCUGAGAGGAUGAUCAGCCACACUGGAACUGAGACACGGUCCAGACUCCUACGGGAGACAGCAGUGGGGAAUAUUGGACAAUGGGCGCAAGCCUGAUCCAGCCAUACCGCGUGGGUGAAGAAGGCCUUCGGGUUGUAAAGCCCUUUUGUUGAGAAAGAAAAGCAGCAGGUUAAUACCCCGCUGUUCUGACGGUACCCAAAGAAUAAGCACCGGCUAACUUCGUG